CCUGCAGCUGGCAACAGGCAAAGAGAGGAGCGCACUAGGGAACCCGCGGGACGGCCAAGUGACCAGCAAUCUGCGCUCCUCUGGAAGCGGAGGAUGGCGAGAAGAGGCCACCAGAGAAAUGAAGGGCCAGAAGCGGAGAGGCUGAACUCUGUACCUCCAUCGAGUCCGGGCUGCUGGGUGAGGGGCUGCAGGUGGCGCAGCCAGAGGGCACGGCCACCCGACUGCCUUUCCUUUCGAGCUACGGCGCCGCCGGAGAGCGAGUGAACUGGUUGCCACAGGCUGUUUGGCAAGAUAUUGAAAAUUACUCACACCAAUGAACAAGUAUAUUCCACUGUAAAAGUUAAAAGCAAAGACCAAGAUUGAUGAAAUAAUUUGAAACUGCCUGAAGAUAAAUAACUAGUACAAUUAUAAUGUGGGAAGCAGCGAAAAUUAACUAACUCCCAGAAUUGACUUAAUAUUUCUUUGAAUUUAAAGAAUUAAAAGUAAAAUGAUAGUUUUA